GACGAACGCUGGCGGCGUGCUUAACACAUGCAAGUCGAACGGAAAGGCCCUGCUUUUGUGGGGUGCUCGAGUGGCGAACGGGUGAGUAACACGUGAGUAACCUGCCCUUGACUUUGGGAUAACUUCAGGAAACUGGGGCUAAUACCGGAUAGGAGCUCCUGCUGCAUGGUGGGGGUUGGAAAGUUUCGGCGGUUGGGGAUGGACUCGCGGCUUAUCAGCUUGUUGGUGGGGUAGUGGCUUACCAAGGCUUUGACGGGUAGCCGGCCUGAGAGGGUGACCGGCCAAAUUGGGACUGAGAUACGGCCCAGACUCCUACGGGAGGCAGCAGUGGGGAAUAUUGCACAAUGGGCGGAAGCCUGAUGCAGCAGCGCCGCGUGCGGGAUGACGGCCUUCGGGUUGUAAACCGCUUUCGCCUGUGACGAAGCGUGAGUGACGGUAAUGGGUAAAGAAGCACCGGCUAACUACGUG
rnacentral:rRNA from 1 species